UCUAGGUCUUCCCAAAGUUUGGGGAGUUCGAGACUGUCGACGGAACGGAAGCAAGGAGCAGCGAGUCACUGACUCAGUGAGAGAAGAAAUAGAGCACGAGGAGCUGAGCGGAAGGAAGUAUGGCGGGACAAGAGGCUGGCUCGAAGCUUGUUAGAUUGCUUGCUUUCGUUGGCGCUGGAGUCGUCUGCACGGCUGCCAUAAACACGUGGAGGGAUGUCCAACGGAAAUUCCUGCAACAGAAGGCAGAAGCCUCCGAGAAGAAGUCCCCGGGUUUGGUAAAUAAUGCUGUCGAAUAAUAAUUAGGGUUUUCUCCAUCGUCGUUAUCAUCUGUAAUAAUUCUUCUUCCUUUUGAUCUGAAUUGUUAUUGUUGGGCUACUGAGAACUUCUAAAUGAAUCUUUUGCUUUUGAGGUUCUCUAGAAAUGUAUUACUUUUAAUAAUUACCUGAAAACUCUCCCUUCUGCUGAAUCUUGUAUAUUUGGAGUUCCCUAUAGAUAAGAAAAAAACGAGAGAUUAAUGUCUCAACCAAAUUUUAUGGAAUGGUAAUUGCUUCAUAUGGGAAUGCAUUUAAGCCCA